CCACAAAGCAAACGAAGAAAAGAAGGAGAAAUUUUGAUAUCGCCUAAUAAGAAUUAGCAAGCUUGAUAAUUAAUAAGGUUAAAAAUCUGUUGGAAGAAAGAGAAAAAAGUGAGGAAAGAAAAUAUGGAAAUAUUUUGUUCCACAAAUAAAGCCCCUAGCAAUUUGGAAUAAUUAGAUCAGAUACAUAUCAUUAACAACAGUUAGUUGACACCAUAAAGUUAAAUAAUGAAUUAAAAGAGAAGAGCUACAUAGUGAAAAUGAUAGAAGUGUAGUACUCUAAGUAUCAAUUUCUCAGGAGAGGGCUUAAAGAGGAGCUGAAAAUUUAAGUAGUCAAAUUUAAAAACGAAGAGGUUGGAUUAUUUCUACUCAAACUGAGGAGGAAAAAUGGUUUGAGAACGUGUAAAAAAAAUAAAUAUGAAAAGAUUUUGUUCCACAAAUCAAGCCUCUAAUUAAUAGUUUGAAAAGAUUUUGUUCCACAAANN
rnacentral:lncRNA from 1 species